rnacentral:rRNA from 1 species
AUACGGAGGGUGCAAGCGUUAUUCGGAAUCACUGGGCGUAAAGGACGCGUAGGCGGGUUGGCAAGUCAGAUGUGAAAUACUACAGCUUAACUGUAGAACUGCAUUUGAAACUGCUAACCUAGAGUAUGGGAGGGGGAGAUGGAAUUAGUGGUGUAGGGGUAAAAUCCGUAGAUAUCACUAGGAAUACCGAAAGCGAAGGCGAUCUCCUGGAACAUAACUGACGCUAAGGCGUGAAAGCGUGGGGAGCAAACAGGAUUAGAUACCCUAGUAGUCC